rnacentral:lncRNA from 1 species
GAGAACUUCGGGAGGCGGGGGAGGAAAGCGGCCGGCGAGCGCUGGCUGACAUUUUCCUGCCCGGAAGGAUGCAUGGCCCGGGGUCUCCUGCACCUGAGGGUGGGCGGGAGGCGGCCCCGCGGGUUGUGUUGCUGGAAAAAGGGGUCUCGAUCCAGACCCCAAGAGAGGGUUCUUGGGUCUACUUCAGGGAAGAAUUGGAGGCGAGUCACAGAGCGCAGUGAAGGAAGCAAGUUUAUUGGAAUCUACUCCGUUAGAGAGUGCAAGUCCUCAGACUGCAGGAGGAGGAACUCCCGUCCUUCGGUAGUGUCACUACUUAGAGGCAGCUGUGAGGAGCUGUGAUUAAUCGUGGAAUGUGCUGAUGUGCCCACUAAAGAGGAAUAACGCCAGAAAGUGUUCCAGUACAACCAGAGAAAGAGAGUCCAUGAGAAAUCUGCCCUUGUGAAGUUGGAAUCCCCUCAACCUCACCCCGCUGACUUGAAUGAAGCGACUGAGACGGGCUAUGAUGGAGCAGAUCCGGUUGCUCGACCUUCUCCCUUGCACCAACACAUGUAGUUAAUAGUUACUGGACAUGCAUAUUCAGUGGGUUCCAGGUACCAAACUUGUAUUGAAUGGUAUGUGCCAGACACCGUCUUGAGAUCUGGAGAAUAAAAAAAUAAAAAAAUAAAAACGAGACAUCCAGAGCACAGUA